rnacentral:rRNA from 1 species
GACGAACGCUGGCGGCGUGCCUAAUACAUGCAAGUAGAACGCUGAAGGAGGAGCUUGCUUCUCUGGAUGAGUUGCGCACGGGUGAGUAACGCGUAGGUAACCUGCCUGGUAGCGGGGGAUAACUAUUGGAAACGAUAGCUAAUACCGCAUAAGAGUAGAUGUUGCAUGACAUUUGCUUAAAAGGUGCAAUUGCAUCACUACCAGAUGGACCUGCGUUGUAUUAGCUAGUUGGUGAGGUAACGGCUCACCAAGGCAACGAUACAUAGCCGACCUGGGAGGGUGAUCGGCCACACUGGGACUGAGACACGGCCCAGACUCCUACGGGAGGCAGCAGUAGGGAAUCUUCGGGAAUGGACGGAAGUCUGACCGAGCAACGCCGCGGGAGUGAAGAAGGUUUUCGGAUCGUAAAGAUCUGUUGUAAGAGAAGAAAGAGUGUGAGAGUGGAAAGUUCACACUGUGACGGUAUCUUACCAGAAAGGGACGGCUAACUACGUG